CGAUCUGUUGCGGACAGAUGUAAUGGAUGUGGCUGUCAAAGCCCCCUGCGGUGAGAAUAUGGCCCUCGCCGGCAAUCGCCUCGGUUCCAGGCCCGAUGAUGAUAUCCACCCCGGGCUGGGUGUCCGGGUUUCCCGCCUUGCCGAUGCCGCAGAUCACACCAUCACGAAGACCAAUAUCGGCCUUGAAAAUACCAGACACAUCAACCACCAGCGCAUUGGUGAUCACCGUAUCCGCCGCACCAUCGGCGCGGCUCGCCUGUGAUUGGCCCAUACCAUCAC
rnacentral:sRNA from 1 species